rnacentral:rRNA from 1 species
UACGGAGGGUGCAAGCGUUAAUCGGAAUUACUGGGCGUAAAGCGUGCGUAGGCGGUUCGUUAAGUCUGCUGUGAAAGCCCCGGGCUCAACCUGGGAAUGGCAGUGGAUACUGGCGAGCUAGAGUGUGAUAGAGGAUGGUGGAAUUCCCGGUGUAGCGGUGAAAUGCGUAGAGAUCGGGAGGAACAUCAGUGGCGAAGGCGGCCAUCUGGAUCAACAUGACGCUGAGGUGCGAAAGCGUGGGGAGC